ensembl:lncRNA
UUUUUUCCCCAAAGAAGUCCCCAAGAAUUGGUGAGAAAAGUACCUGACAUUGCUUUUCCUGCUCGCCACUUGUUGUCUCAACCUACUAGAGGUACAUACCUGUGAAUUAACCACCAUCAAGACGAUGAACAUAUUCAUCAUCCACAAAGGUUUCUUCCUUUCUAAGGUUUUGUCUCCCUCCCAAACCUCCGUACCCCUUGGCCUGGCUAAGCAUCCAGAAGAAGAAUAAACAUACUUCUGACUCCUAGUGUUAUCCAUGAAACUAACAGGUCGUUGUUUCCCAAACUACAUGUUGAACUCCUAGUGGGACUGUGAAGAUAUUAUGAGUGUUCCUGGUGAUCAGAGCAGAAGAGAUCCAGCAGUGAUCAUGUCACUGCACUGACUUCAGAGCUUAUAGAGAUUGCCAUCCAAGACAAUAUUCUUGACCUCCUCGAUGUCACAGUCUUAAAACUAUGAACUGGACCUAUGCCCUCAAUCCUUAAAGAAGAGCAAACAUUUGCUGCCGUAUACUUGCAGUGUUGUUUACCAUCAUGAGCCAAGAAUAAAGUCAAAAGGUAACUGACCUUCCCAUCCACCUGCUGCCACAAAGAACUCCACAGUUUGAAUUAAACAAAUAUUUCCUGUGGCAGGUAUUCUUCAAAAUAUGAAAAGCCAGUAAUGAAUAACUCUGCCUUGCAAGGAAGCUUAUUUUCUGAUCAGAGAAAUACAUUUAUAUAUUGUGUAAAAUUCAUGAAGAUGAGAAAUAUGUACCAAAGGAAAACAAGUAACGUUUGCCGCCAUCUGGGGGAGUUGUGACUGGUGGUACCCCACAUGGAAAACAUUUCUUGAUUCAGGCAUUUCCCAUGAUCCAUGAGGCUGGUUUCUGAGAGCUCCUUUGAAUACUUAGUUGUUCAAAUGCU